UUAGUUUUAUCAUUUCUUCUAGGAUUGCUUAACAGGGGUCUUUAGCUGUUGUUUCGCAGGCCGGAGGAGUUCUCUGAUGUCUGUGCAGCUGCUUUAACCUCAUCUUGCUUCAUUCUUGGAUUCACCUGACAGCAUUUAAAGAAGAACCUCUUUGCCCUCUCAUCCAUGUGCUGCACUGCAAGUACUUUUAUGAGAAGAAAAAUGAAUGCCAUCUCCUCAGUUCAUGUUUCAGCUGGAAUUCCUAAACAUUGGCCUGCCUUAAAUGAUUCCUGUGCUAGGCAGACAAGCAUGUGACCCAGGCAGAUUCUUUGUAAGGCUUAUAGCAAGCCCUCCUUAUAAGUAAAGCUUAGAGUGCCUCCUGCACAUUGCUUUCUUUAUUUUGGUUAUUUGUAACAGCUGUCAAAGAGUUCUGUUAUCACUGCAUGCGAGACUGGUAGGUCUGCAGAUUGCUGUCUGACCACCGAUACUUGCACUGCCUGUGCUGCAGAUGUACGAUCCUCUGAUUGUUUACCCUUUUGCAUGAGGUUUACCUUUUGUUCACAGAGCCAUGUUUAGAAAAAAUAGGAGACUUUAUGUAAGCAUCCAAAUAAAUGACCUGUUCUCAAAGUCCCCUGUUAGCAGCAGUUGCAGCUGACCAUCCUUACUCUGAAAUAAAGGAGUUGUGUCUGUACAGUCUUUUUGAGGUUGAGGUGCUAUACUUGCUGUGUUUCAUUCAGGUAACAAAGCAGGACUCUGCAGUAUCAUACCCUUCUCAAUCUGUUCGAUAUUGUAGCUGACCUGCUAAGAUUGGACAAAAUUUGCACUGGAUUUAGAUACUGCUAUAUGUCUUCUCUGUUCCCCUCUUCCUUGCCUCCCCUGCUCUAAAACCUGCAACUUCACUAUUUUCUGUCUGAACUGCUAUCUCAUUUACCUGACUCUGAACCUGAAUGCUCUAGAAGGCAGCCUUGCUGCCUGGGUCCAGUGCUUGCUGCUGCUGUGAAGCAGAGCUGAAUGCCCUGAGAAGUAGCCCAGGGUACAUGUGAAGCUGAGAGCUGUCUUUUGCCAUGCUGGGAUGCCAACACAAGUACAAUGGCUGCUUGUGUGUGAGAGUCGUGCCACAAUAAGGGAAGUGAGAGGACGAAGACCAGUUGAUAGUGAUCUAAGAGGGUAUUAAAAGGAGGAGAAACAUAAAAGAAGGGGAAGAGAGGGAAUAUAAGAGAGAAAGGCUAGGUUUGAAGACCAACUGCUGCAUGAGCUAGUGACAAAACUAAAUCAGAGCUGUGUUCUUUCCUUUUCUUUGUCCAGUAAUGUGGGAAAGGGGCAGGAUGGGGGAUGGAAGGUGGGCAAUAGAGUCACUGGCUUUAAAGUUUCUGGCAGGGUGGGCAAGAUAGGCCUGGGGAUGGCUCUCUGUCACUCUUGCUGCUGCAGCCCUGCUGGUAAAUCCUUGACAGUACGCCCAAGGGAGUGAAACUCAGACGGAGCAUCUUUUUCUCUAUGCAGUUUUGUUUUCAGCCAGUGAACAAUAUGACCAGCUGAGGGGAGUUGACUAGGGUUGCAGAGUGUCAGCACUGCCUGUGCUGGGGUUGUGAUCCUUGUGCUUGCUCUGCUUUGCUGGUUCAGCCAUGCUUGCCAUUGGUGCUACGUCAGUCACUUCUGCACAGGAAGCAGAGGUGUGCAUGGGGGUGGGUAGUAUUCCUGGAAGCAUCUCUUGGAAAAAAGCAGAGACCGGAAUGCUUCAUUUACCCACAUAAGAGGAAAAGGAUGGGCUUGAAUAUCAAUAUCUGUGUUUUGGAGUCUGUUUCUAAAUUGAUUAAAAAUCCAAGAAAAGUGUUCACUUAUUUAUUGUUAUGACUCUUGGUCAUGUUGCAUAUAAUUCUUAACCCUCAUGAGUGUAUCUCUCUAUAGGUAUACACAAACAGGAAGAGAGAAUAUUGAUGUUGCGGUACUUCAUUAACACAAAAGUGAAGUUUUAUUGUAUUAGCAUCUUCGGCACCUCUGCUUCCCUCCCUCCCCCUUUCCAACUGCUUCAGAACAAUUGCAAUUGCUUUCCAUGCAGUGAAGUCAUCCCAUUUAGGAACAGGCAUUGGGUUUAUCACCAGUGUACUUUUCCGGAGGAGUUUGAUUACCAUGUUCCCAAGGCAUGCUCUGAUUUGUGGCACUCUUUCAAAAAGUGACUAAUGAAUUUUGAGACUUCCAUAAAGGGGAUUGUUGCUGAGAAAUGCUCAGCAGCAUGCACUUGGGCUUGGUUAGAAUGUCCCAAUUUGGGCGGCUGGAACAUCUAGCUACUUCUACAGACAGGGGUUUUAGCAAAUUAUUUCCUGUAAUGCUUCUCUCCCUGAGUAGCCAGGCGGCUCAGAAUUGAAUGAAGUUCCAUCUGGUCAGCCAGAAUAGCACCAAAUCCUUGGCACUGUGCAUCUCAACUGGAUGCAGAGUCGAGGUGCACUGGCGUGUUCUGUGUCUGUGUGCAGGGGGGUGAGAAGUUGGCAGAAAUCUCUGAAGUGCUCUGAUCCGCCCUCUGGAGGAUAGGCUCUCCUUUCUCCAGUGACUAAAUAGGGAGUCCAGGGAGGCAGAGUUUCCAUAGCUGGUUCCUAAAAUCACCAUCCUCCUCAAGUUUGUCUCCCCGCUUUAUGAGAAACCUCUGGGGAAGCUGGCAGUCUGAGGGCAGAGGGAGAAUGUUUUGCAGUUCCUGCUAAUUGAAAGCAGGAUGUGAAAGGAUGUUAAAUGCUGUAGUCGUGGAGGUGCAUUGUCUGCAGAAGGCAUUCAGCAGUUGUUCUCUGGAAUUACUAUUCAAUAUCCAGCAAUAUUUCUGCUUUACGCAUUGUUGUUUCUCCUGUCUUUUUAGGUGUAAUUAACCAGUCUAUGUCUGAGAAAGUGCAAGCUCUCCCACCUUUAACUGGGAAAUAAACUAAGACCAAAGAGAAACCUGUAGUCUACAUCUGGCAGAAAUGGCAGUAGAGCUUUCCCAUUGUGGGUUGAGUGCUGCUGCUGUGCAAGCUUUUAGCUGCAUCAGAAUGAGAGAGGUUUCUGCAACCACCUUAGGGUGUGAAGGGUAGAGGGCAUGUAAUCCUGACCAUGGAAAGCACUGAAAUAAAUAUGUGCUGAAAUCCCACCAAGCCCAUAGCACUUGAGUAUGUCUCUCCUUGUUAUCUUUGAAGAUUUGUGGGCGUUACUGUGCUCACCAGAAGAAAAUAGAAAUUGUAGCGUAUUUCUGUGUGUGUGUAUUGGAGAUUGCACAGCUAGAGGGCAGAAAAAUUCAAGAAGAACCACAGGUGUCCAUACAGUACAGUUUAGACUGAGUUUGGUCUGAAAGCCCAGGGGGAAUUGGAACUCCUGGGCUUCUUCAGUGAAAAUUAAUGAGGAGUUAUAAAUUGAAAUAAAGGGGAGGGGCACAAUUAGGAAAGGGAAAGUAGUGGUAAACUCUUCUCCCUGGCUCUAGUUCUGGGGGAAAUUUAGUUUGUUGCAGUUGCUCCUUUGCUCCUUUCAGAUGAAAUUCAAUUCUGCAACUCUCCAAAGACAAAUAAUUUAUUGCAUGCCUUUGUAUCUUCUGCAUUGGGAAUUUGAUUUCCCCUGAAAGUCACCUGAGUGGCUGACAGAAAAAAGAUGCUUUGUUUCUUCACAGACUGAUAGGGCAGGGAGCUUUUGCUGCACAAAAAGAACAAGUUAUUUUUUCCAAGAUGGGGUUCCAAGUGUAUGCUUGAUUGCUUCCAAACUGAAAGCUGUAGCAGUAGUGAGCCCCAGACAUUCAUGAGUGUUUCUACCUUGAAUAUUUGAAGAGCUUUUGUCCUUCCUUGCUUGUACUCAGUUGGAAGACUCAAGUUUUUUCCAAUGGAAUAUUUGGGGGCUUUUUGAUUCGAAGGGGAAAGCCACAAUAUGAGGUUUAAUUCCCCCAAAGAGUCCGGUUUUGCUGUGAGUGAGCUGGAGAGUCUAGGGAAAGUUUAUAUCCUUCCCAUUGCUGAGUGCAAAAAGGUGGUAUCCACCAAGUGGUUCUGCUGUGUUUCUAGAUCCAUUCUGUUAUCAGCUUUGUAGUUCUUUUGAGAAAAGGUUGUUUUUUUUUUCUUUUUUCUGAGGCUUUAUUUCAGAUAGUGAAAGCAGGAGAGGAUACUGUUCCCUUUUUUUAUGGAAGGAAGAUCUUUUUUCAAGGGUCGUCAAGAUGAUUAAGCCUUUUUUCCUCAGCUUCCUCAUGCACUGGAAAAGUCCUCCUGAAGAAGCUGAGACAAAUCACUGAAUAGAAUAUAAUCUGAUGUGGCAACAGGAGAUGGGGAAUUUUUGUUCACAUGUUUAGUUUUUGCGCCUGUAACUGUGGGUCACUGGAGUUUGCUUUGACAUCAGGAGAACUUUGUUCUGUGCAUUCUCAGUAACAGUUCUUAGUGUCCUGAGCCACUGGAGGGUAAGUUCUCCAAAGAGUCGUAGAGUCAUUUCAUUUACAGAGAUAUCAUUUACAGACAGAGUGGUGAGGUGCUGGAACAGCUGCCCAGAGAGGUUGUGGAUGCCCCGUCCCUGGAGGUGUUCAAGGCCAGUAGAGAUGGGAAAGGCUCUACACCUUAAAUGGAGGAAAGGGAAGCUAACCAUGGGCACAGGAUGGGGAGAAGAAGAAUUCUACAACAUGAAGUACACCUUACACAAGAAGAGAGCUUUCUGAAGGCUUUACUCCGAAGUCUCCAUUAGUUUAGAGAUGUUUCACUGUCUGCUGUAAGGAGUCCUACAUUUGAGAGACCAUUCAGGGAUGCACAGGAUGGACUCUGAUAGGUUUCUUCCAGAAGUGGGGUGAAUUUUGAUGUGGUUUCAAAAUAUGAGCCUGUGUGUGGUUGUACAACACUAUGCUACAGUAAAAAAAAGCUAGAAUUAC